rnacentral:rRNA from 1 species
GACGUAGGGUGCGAGCGUUGUCCGGAUUUAUUGGGCGUAAAGAGCUCGUAGGCGGCUCGUCGCGUCGACCGUGAAAACCCGCGGCUUAACUGCGGGCUUGCGGUUGAUACGGGCGGGCUAGAGUUCGGUAGGGGAGACUGGAAUUCCUGGUGUAGCGGUGAAAUGCGCAGAUAUCAGGAGGAACACCGGUGACGAAGGCGGGUCUCUGGGCCGAUACUGACGCUGAGGAGCGAAAGCGUGGGGAGCGAACAGG